rnacentral:rRNA from 1 species
UACGGGGGGGGGCAAGCGUUGUUCGGAAUUAUUGGGCGUAAAGAGCUCGUAGGCGGUCUGUCGCGUCGGCUGUGAAAUCCCGAGGCUCAACCUCGGGUCUGCAGUCGAUACGGGCAAACUAGAGUAUUGCAGGGGAGACUGGAAUUCCUGGUGUAGCGGUGAAAUGCGUAGAUAUCUGGAGGAACACCGGUGGCGAAGGCGGCAUCCUGGACCGAGAUUGACGCUGAUGCGCGAAAGCCAGGGGAGCAAACGGG